rnacentral:rRNA from 1 species
UACGAAGGGGGCUAGCGUUGCUCGGAAUCACUGGGCGUAAAGGGUGCGUAGGCGGGUUUUUAAGUCAGGGGUGAAAUCCUGGAGCUCAACUCCAGAACUGCCUUUGAUACUGAAGAUCUUGAGUCCGGGAGAGGUGAGUGGAACUGCGAGUGUAGAGGUGAAAUGCGCAGAUAUCGGGAAGAACACCCGUGGCGAAGGCGGCACUCUGGGACGGUACUGACGCUGAGACGCGAAAGCGUGGGGAGCAAACAGG